GUCCAGGAGAGCAGGGGCAUGAGAAGAGCAGCAACCCAAGCAAGGAAGAGGAAAAGGCCUGGAUGUGUCUUCAGAUAGAGACAGACUGAAGCGCCGGCCCACACUCACCAGCAGCGUGGCUCUGGGCUUGGUCCUUAGGUGUCCCAGGUGUCUGUCUCCGCACAUCUUCCCAGGCCUUCUCCAGCGUACCGGCAUCACCUGGGGACUGGCCCUCUGCAGUCACGCUGGCUCCAGGCUCACCGGGAGUCACGUUCUCUGGCUGUGACUUUCCUUUUGCUGUGGAUUAACCCAGACAUGGGCCUGAUGCUUUUUCUUUAAUGUAUACACACACAUACACUCACACAUACACACAUGGACACAUUCACUCACAUGCACUCACAUGUACUCAAGCAUACACACAUGCACUCACACACAUGCGCUCAGGCACACAUGCACUCACAGGCACACAUGUAAACAGGCACACACACGCACAUGUACUCAUACAGGCACACACGUACACCCAGGCACAUGCACACAUGGUCUCAUACAGGCACACACGUACACACAGGCACACACAUGCACUCACACACAGGCACACCUCCACAGGCACAUACAUGCACAUGAUCUCACGUACACAGGCACACGUAUGCACACACACAUACACAG
rnacentral:lncRNA from 10 species